rnacentral:rRNA from 1 species
UACGAAGGGUGCAAGCGUUACUCGGAAUUACUGGGCGUAAAGCGUGCGUAGGCGGUUUGUUAAGUCCGUUGUGAAAGCCCUGGGCUCAACCUGGGAAUUGCAGUGGAUACUGGCGAGCUAGAGUGCGGUAGAGGAUGGUGGAAUUCCCGGUGUAGCGGUGAAAUGCGUAGAGAUCGGGAGGAACACCGGUGGCGAAGGCGGCAUCCUGGACCGGCAUUGACGCUGAGGAGCGAAAGCCAGGGGAGCAAACGGG